GGGGGAUCAGACAGAGCUCCCGACUUCAGGGCCAAUGCUCUCGCCUCUGCCUGGGCUCGAAUUUCAUAGUCUCUCCUCUCCUGUCCCCCUCAGUCGCUUGAGACCGCGGGGCGGCCGGAGGCCAAAGUCCCUCCCUUGUUUGCAGAAGCGAGCAGGGACAGAGUGUAGCCACUGUGUGUGAUGUGGGCUCCGGGCCUUGGACCUCUGGAGAUCCCCGGGCUUGUGGUCUCCCAGGCCCGGAGGCUCGCCCAAGUCCCUGCCUCGGUGGCCACCGGGAGCAGAUGCCGGCUCGGCUCAGGUCUCCGGGAAGCGGGAGCCCCAGAGCACUUACUAAGCCCUUGUUGUGUGCCCACCGGGAACACCCGUCCCUGACCUCCCUGUGCCCGUCCCCACCCCCCGCUGUGCCCGACCACCAGCGGAGGCGGCUCUCAGCGAUCACAAGAGGACCCGUGGAAAUGAGCAGCAUCUGGCACAGGCUCUCUCCCGAAUUUCUCUCCACCCCCACCCGCGGCAGGACCCCCCCCCUCCCCGCCGGAGACUCCCCGAAAUGCCAGGUCCCCCCGGCGGGGUCACAGCCGAGAUCGCGCAAACGCUGCCGGGCAGCUGGGGGAGUCCCCCGGGCCAGCACACGUCCUUUCCCGAAGGUGACUCUGGGUGCUGUGGCAAUACUGAGCACGUGGACAGAAAUGGGGGCGUUUCCUCCCGGCCCGUGGCCGACCUCUGUGCAGACCUCCACCUUCGGCUUCCCGGCCUCGCCCACAAUGAACCCUGCCGUCAUGAGAGUCGGCUCUUUGACAUCUGUUACAAAAUGCAAACCCCGGCGGCCCGAGUCCCCAGUCUGUGGCGACCUCUGA
rnacentral:lncRNA from 1 species